rnacentral:lncRNA from 1 species
GCUCUGGAGCAUAUGGUGGUGGUGGAGCAACCGGUAGCGCGGGUUUAGGAGCUUCCUUGGGCUUCUCAGGUUCUUUGGGCUUUUCAGGUUGUUUGGGCUUCUCGGGUUCCUUGGGCUUUUCUGGUUCUUUAGGCUUUUCGGGUUCCUUGGGUUUCGCAGGUUCUUUUGGUUUUUCCGGUUCUUUCGGCUUCUCAGGUUCCUUAGGCUUCACAGGCUCUUUGGGCUUUUCGGGUUGCUUGGGCUUUUCUGGGUCUUUAGGUUUCUUAGGCACUUUGGGCUUCUCGGACUCCUUAGGCUUCUCAUGUUCUUUAGGUUUUGCGGGCUCCUUGGGCUUUUCGGGCUCUUUGGACUUCUCGGGUUCUUUGGGAUUUUCAGGAGCCUUAGGCUUUUGAGGUUCUUUGAUCUCGAUGCUCUUGAUCACUCCCCCUCCUUUGCAACAUAAUUUGUCACGAAUUCUUUCAGGAUUGCAACACAAUACAGUAAUGGUGAUAGUAUUGGCCUUCUCAUCAUACACCUGAUCUUGAAUUUCUUUUGUCCAAAAUAUUUAAUACCACACACCAAAAAGGAUAAAGGAGAAAAAAGAACAUCUCAGUUCUCAUCCAUUCAUAUUCUUGUCCUUAAGUAGUAUCCUCAUUAUUCAUUGAAAUAUAAAAAUGAAAAAGUGAAAUUUCAAAGGAAAAUUUUGCCGUA